AUGUUUUCGGAUACUGCCAUACAAUUACAACCUAUCUUUGCUCAAUGGGUACAAAAUAUCCAUGCUACUGCGCCUGGCGUAACAGCUCUUGGUGCAACAACAAGUACUAGCUUAACGUGGGGAGGCGGCGAGUUAGUAGCAGUAGGUGGCAAAGUGGCUUUGUUACCUAUUCCAUUAGGAACCGUAGAUUUUUUAGUCCAUCACAUUCAUGCAUUUACCAUACAUGUGACUGUAUUAAUACUUUUGAAAGGUGUUUUAUUUGCUCGGAGUUCCCGUUUGAUACCCGAUAAAGAAGCAAAACUAAAGGGAUGUUGA
rnacentral:rRNA from 1 species